GUCGAACGCUGGCGGCGUGCUUAACACAUGCAAGUCGAACGGAAAGGCCCUGCUUUUGUGGGGUGCUCGAGUGGCGAACGGGUGAGUAACACGUGAGUAACCUGCCCUUGACUUUGGGAUAACUUCAGGGAACUGGGGCUAAUACCGGAUAGGAGCUCCUGCUGCAUGGUGGGGGUUGGAAAGUUUCGGCGGUUGGGGAUGGACUCGCGGCUUAUCAGCUUGUUGGUGGGGUAGUGGCUUACCAAGGCUUUGACGGGUAGCCGGCCUGAGAGGGUGACCGGCCACAUUGGGACUGAGAUACGGCCCAGACUCCUACGGGAGGCAGCAGUGGGGAAUAUUGCACAAUGGGCGGAAGCCUGAUGCAGCAACGCCGCGUGCGGGAUGACGGCCUUCGGGUUGUAAACCGCUUUCGCCUGUGACGAAGCGUGAGUGACGGUAAUGGGUAAAGAAGCACCGGCUAACUACGUG
rnacentral:rRNA from 1 species